GCGAUGAGGAAGCAUUACUGUCUGGGU
rnacentral:piRNA from 1 species